GACGUCAAAUCAUCAUGCCCUAUAUGUCCUGGGCUACACACGUACUACAAUGGCUAAAACAGAGGGAAGCAAAGGAGCAAUCCGGAGCCAAACCCAAAAAUAGUCUCAGUUCGGAUUGCGGGCUGAAACCCGCCCGCAUGAAGUCGGAAUUGCUAGUAAUGGCAGGUCAGCAUACUGCCGUGAAUACGUUCCCGGGCCUU
rnacentral:rRNA from 1 species